rnacentral:tRNA from 1 species
GGCCUCAUCGUCUAACGGUUAGGACGAGUCCCUCUCACGGAUUAAAUCGGGGUUCGAUUCCCCGUGAGGUCA